AGAUUGUCUCAUCUUGGGGAAAUCGUAUCCACCUGCCUACUCCCCAAAAUUAUUUUCAUGUUUUAAUGAAGCUUCGUGCAGAAAACAAUGACGAUAAUGCAAUCAUCGUACGAUCGUACUACGUCUCAUCGUGCGUUUGGUAAAUAAAGAUAAAAAAAAAAAAUACGUGGAACUAUAUGACUAUAACAAAGGAUGGAAGGAAAAAUGAUAAGGAAUGUUUAAUAAAAUUUG